rnacentral:rRNA from 1 species
AAUGAACGCUGGCGGCGCGCCUAAUACAUGCAAGUCGAGCGAGAAGACGUAGCAAUACGUUUGUAAAGCGGCGAACGGGUGAGGAAUACAUGGGUAACCUACCCUCGAGUGGGGAAUAACUAGCCGAAAGGUUAGCUAAUACCGCGUACGCUCCUUGGACUUCGGUUCAGGGAGGAAAGCGAUACCGUGGGUAUCGCGCUCUUGGUUGGGCUCAUGUCCUAUCAGCUUGUUGGUGAGGUAACGGCUCACCAAGGCUUCGACGGGUAGCUGGUCUGAGAGGACGAUCAGCCACACUGGCACUGCGACACGGGCCAGACUCCUACGGGAGGCAGCAGUAAGGAAUAUUGCGCAAUGGGCGAAAGCCUGACGCAGCGACGCCGCGUGGGGGAGUGAAGGU